rnacentral:tRNA from 1 species
GCAUCGGUGGUUCAGUGGUAGAAUGCUCACCUGCCACGCGGGCGGCCAGGGUUCGAUUCCUGGCUGAUGCA